UUCCAGCUGACGAGUCCCAAAUAGAACGAAACGCGCAUCCUGAAC
rfam:Schistosoma curassoni strain Dakar, Senegal genome assembly, scaffold: SCTD_scaffold0003886